GAUGAACGCUGGCGGCGUGCCUAAUACAUGCAAGUCGAGCGAACGGACGAGAAGCUUGCUUCUCUGAUGUUAGCGGCGGACGGGUGAGUAACACGUGGAUAACCUACCUAUAAGACUGGGAUAACUUCGGGAAACCGGAGCUAAUACCGGAUGAUAUUUUGAACCGCAUGGUUCAAUAGUGAAAGACGGUCUUGCUGUCACUUAUAGAUGGAUCCGCGCUGCAUUAGCUAGUUGGUAAGGUAACGGCUUACCAAGGCAACGAUGCAUAGCCGACCUGAGAGGGUGAUCGGCCGCACUGGAACUGAGACACGGUCCAGACUCCUAAGGGAGGCAGCAGUAGGGAAUCUUCCGCAAUAGGCGGAAGCCUGACGGAGCAACGCCGCGUGAGUGAUGAAGGUCUUCGGAUCGUAAAACUCUGUUAUUAGGGAAGAACAUAUGUGUAAGUAACUGUGCACAUCUUGACGGUACCUAGUCAGAAAGCCACGGCUAACUACGUG
rnacentral:rRNA from 1 species